GAAAAUUGCCAGUCGUUUUUCAUCUCUCACGCUAAAAACACUUCCAAAACAGUAUAAAAAAUUUAAAACAAUUUUUCAAGAAUAUAAAAAACAGAAUAAAAAGUUUCCUGUUAAAAUUUAUUGCGAAAAAUUGCUUUACUUUAAGCGAAAAUGGACUGCGCAUACUGCAACCGUAGCACAGAGGGGUGCGCCUCGAUCAAAUGCAGCCUGUGCGCGUCCCAGUUCCACCUGGAGUGCGUGAGUAGCGAGCACCUGGUGCCCAGCAACAACAGCUGGCGGUGCUGCAAGUGCGAUGCGAUGGCGGCGGCUGCGCUCGCGCCCCCGGUCAUUGAUUCAGUUCGUGCAUAGAUCGUAAUUGCCAAGUGUAACAUGGUGUAAUAGUGUAAAUUGACUGUGAUUCUGCCGAAGUUCAUUUUGAAAUAAAUUCAGUGGUUCUUA